rnacentral:lncRNA from 1 species
CUACCAAGGAAGCACCAGUCAUCCAUCACAUUGUCCUUGUGUUGCAGCUCUAGUGGUGUUGUAUUGUCAGCUGUGAUCAUGUAAGAACCUGACCUGGUACGUUAUGUAUAUAAGAAGAAUAAGAACCUGUUAACUUCUGUGGUAUAUAAGUUCAUAGCAGAAUGUUCUUGUUGGUUGGAUUGGAUGGAUCCUUUGCACGGUUGAGCAGUGUUGUAAUGUGAUGGUCGGAUGGACUCACGACUGCGUUGGUCGCAUUUGUAAUGGUGAAGACAGAUGUGAAUGUACUUACUGAUCAUGAGCGUUUUUUACAUGCUCAGGUGUUCUUG